ensembl:snRNA U6 U6 spliceosomal RNA
GUGCUCCCUUCGGCAGCACAUACACUAAAACUGGAACGAUACAGAGAAAAUUAGCAUGGCCCCUGCACAAGGAUGACACGCAGAUUCUUGAAGCUCUCCAUAUUUUU